GCUCGCGUAGCUCAGCUGGCAGAGCAUUGGGCUAGUAUUCCAAAGGUCGUAGGUUCGAUUCCCACCGUGGCCA
rnacentral:tRNA from 1 species